AUGGAUAUAUAUGGGCACUUCACAAAAGAAACUGUUUUACAGUGGGGGGAGAUGCCAGCCUCUGUAGCUUAUCUUCAGUCUAACCAGGCCAUGGGCUGGGGAGAGAAAGCUAUUGAACUGCGCUCUGUGGAAACAGGAAAUCUGGAAGGCGUAUUUAUGCACAAGAAAGCACAGAAGCUAAAAUUUCUGUGUGAAAGAAAUGACAAGGUGUUCUUUGCGUCUGUACAAUCAGGAGGCUGCAGUCAAAUUUACUUUAUGACACUUGGUCAAAACAUACUAUUCAACUGGUAAAUCAUCUCAGAACGAAGGAUGCUUUGAAGUUCCCAGCAGAUAGAAGCAGUGUCAAAAGUUUGGAGGUUAUGCACACAUAUUUGCACUUUUUACUUACAAGAAUCUCAUUGUUAUUAACUUUCAACAUUCAUAUUCCUUCAGUCAGGAAGAAAUUCCAUUUUCCUGUCAAAUUAUUGCAAAAGUGUUUCUUUCCAUCUACGAAAAACAUGGUGCAAACCAAGACUGAAUUCACAAUGUAGCAAAUAGCAACUGUAAUGAAAAAUGUAGUGAAUAUAACAGGCUCCUGCACUCUGACAAGUGUACAUGUUUUGCACAGAUAUUGUAAUUUUAUUAUUUUGAACUGAAAUCUUUCUCUUUGGACGCAAUAUCUGCAGUAUCAAAUAUCUGUAUUGAGUUGUGAGUUAGAAUCUACUUGAUUUUGAAUUGUUUCUAGCUUGCUUGACUUUCUUUUAACCAAAUUAUUACUGUCCGAGUCUCACUAGUGAGCUAGCAACUAUUCACAAAGGAGCUUAGCGCACACUUGGGCAUUCAGGGAUAGAUGCAUGCCCUGGGUGUGGAUGUGCUUUGCUGCAGAGCUUUGUAGAAUCAGCUACUGGAUACAUAGGCAUCAGCCCAGGAGCAGAUUUUACAAAAUGCAUAGGGCUGACUCUGUUAAUCUCUCAAGACAGGAUGCCUUAGUCCUUAGACACAGUUACUGUAGAAUGUAUUUGUAAAGAGAAUUUAAAUAGCAGUUUAUCAGAACCAAUAAACACAGGGCAUCAUGGACAUUUAUAGACGUGCUCCAGGA